GAUGAACGCUAGCGACAGGCUUAACACAUGCAAGUCGAGGGGCAGCACAGGGUAGCAAUACUUGGGUGGCGACCGGCGCACGGGUGAGUAACGCGUAUGCAACUUACCUAUCAGAGGGGGAUAGCCCGGCGAAAGUCGGAUUAAUACCCCAUGAGACAGGGGUCCCGCAUGGGAAUAUUUGUUAAAGAUUCAUCGCUGAUAGAUAGGCAUGCGUUCCAUUAGGCAGUUGGCGGGGUAACGGCCCACCAAACCGACGAUGGAUAGGGGUUCUGAGAGGAAGGUCCCCCACAUUGGUACUGAGACACGGACCAAACUCCUACGGGAGGCAGCAGUGAGGAAUAUUGGUCAAUGGCCGAGAGGCUGAACCAGCCAAGUCGCGUGAAGGAAGAAGGAUCUAUGGUUUGUAAACUUCUUUUAUAGGGGAAUAAAGUGGAGGACGUGUCCUUUUUUGUAUGUACCCUAUGAAUAAGCAUCGGCUAACUCCGUGCCAGCAGCCGCGGUAAUACGGAGGAUGCGAGCGUUAUCUGGAUUUAUUGGGUUUAAAGGGUGCGUAGGUGGUGAUUUAAGUCAGCGGUGAAAGUUUGUGGCUCAACCAUAAAAUUGCCGUUGAAACUGGGUUACUUGAGUGUGUUUGAGGUAGGCGGAAUGCGUGGUGUAGCGGUGAAAUGCAUAGAUAACACGCAGAACUCCGAUUGCGAAGGCAGCUUACUAAACCAUAACUGACACUGAAGCACGAAAGCGUGGGGAUCAAACAGGAUUAGAUACCCUGGUAGUCCACGCAGUAAACGAUGAUUACCAGGAGUUUGCGAUACAAUGUAAGCUCUACAGCGAAAGCGUUAAGUAAUCCACCUGGGGAGUACGCCGGCAACGGUGAAACUCAAAGGAAUUGACGGGGGCCCGCACAAGCGGAGGAACAUGUGGUUUAAUUCGAUGAUACGCGAGGAACCUUACCCGGGUUUGAACGUAGUCUGACCGGAGUGGAAACACUUUUUCUAGCAAUAGCAGAUUACGAGGUGCUGCAUGGUUGUCGUCAGCUCGUGCCGUGAGGUGUCGGCUUAAGUGCCAUAACGAGCGCAACCCUUAUCACUAGUUACUAACAGGUGAAGCUGAGGACUCUGGUGGGACUGCCAGCGUAAGCUGUGAGGAAGGUGGGGAUGACGUCAAAUCAGCACGGCCCUUACAUCCGGGGCGACACACGUGUUACAAAGGCAUGGACAAAGGGCAGCUACCUGGCGACAGGAUGCUAAUUUCCAAACCAUGUCUCAGUUCGGAUCGGGGUUCUGCGAACACGACUCCGUGAAGCUGGAUUUCGCUUAG
rnacentral:rRNA from 1 species